AAAUGAAUAGACGGGGGCCCGCACAAGCGGUGGAGCAUGUGCUUUAAUUCGAUGCAACGCGAAGAACCUUACCCAGGCUUGACAUGGGGGCGAAAGACUGUAGAAAUACGGAACCUCCGCAAGGACGCCCUACACAGGUGCUGCAUGGUUGUCGUCAGCUCGUGUCGUGAGAUGUUGGGUUAAGUCCCGCAACGAGCGCAACCCUCGCCCUUAGUUGCCAGCGAGUGAAGUCGGGAACUCUAAGGGGACUGCCUAGUUUAACUAGGAGGAAGGUGGGGAUGACGUCAAAUCCUCAUGGCCCUUACGCCUGGGGCUAGACACGUGCUACAAUGGUCGGUACAGCGGGCAGCAAGCUGGUGACAGCAAGCUAAUCCCUAAAAACCGGUCUCAGUUCGGAUUGGAGUCUGCAAUUCGACUCCAUGAAGCUGGAAUCGCUAGUAAUCGCGGAUCAGCAUGCCGCGGUGAAUACGUUCCCGGGCCUUGUACACACCGCCCGU
rnacentral:rRNA from 1 species